CAGUCAUGUCGCUGUUAGGACUUCUGAUGAUCCUCCUCAUCACUGUGUAUCUGCUAAUGGUUGGGUAUGUACAGUCCGAGGCCCGUGCUAUAGUGUGCAGUGACGACUAUCCCAAUUGCCUCAUGAUGACUAAUGGGUGCUGCCCCAAAGCAUUAUAAAAAGAGAUUACAAUUACAACCGAUUUCACUAACUACCAGGCUGUGUGCGGCAUGAUGCCCUCGGGGUGCUGCUUCUAACCCAGCCAUCAGUUAAUCCUGCUUCUAUAAAUUGAAAUCAUGUUUGAAGAUGUUAAUACAGAUGUCUAAAAAAUGAAGUUAAAAUACGAGUAGAAUAUUUUCUUUUCGACAAGAUUAGUGUUUAAAGUAUAAGAUUUGAAAUGAAUUUUAAAAAGCAAAACGAAUUCUCAAAACAA